rnacentral:lncRNA from 1 species
AUGUACUAAAAGGCCUAUUACUUGAUGUUGCUCGAGGGAAAGCUGGAGCAACCAUUGCAGGCAACCAACCCAAGCCAUUAGGUGUUAUUUGUGUUCUGCUUGAUGUAAAGUUUUCCUGCUAAUCUGCUGUUGUACAAUAGUAUUUACUUUUCAUGGUAGGCUGUAUGCUGCUGGUUUUUCUGCUUCCAAACACAUAUAAUAAUAUAUGUUCAUAUUUAUUAGGAGUAUGACAGAAAAGACACACCUAGGUUUUAGCCAUAAAAUAUGUACAGAAACCAAAAUGAUUUGAAUAAAUUUAUUCUGGCUUCUGUUUUCCACCAUUCCCACUCUUCCACCCUAUUCCUUGCCAUUUUUGUUUGUUUGGUUGGUUUUGCAGAUGUGCAAGCUAGUUGUGCUUCUUGUAUCUUUUUUUUUUUUCUUUGGGGUGGAUGCUUGAAGCAAGAGUGAUCUUCACAUUUGGGAGCAUGAAACUAUGAAAAGAAUUCAAGUCUUCCUUUGCUUAGUUGACCAUGGUGUCCUUUUGCAAUCAAAAGAAUGUAUAGCAUGGUUUUCUUGGGGAUCAAUUGAAGUUUUAUCAAUUUUAUAAGAAAAUUACCAGAUUAGUUCUCUUUCAUUUGAAAAGUAUCUCUAAUUUUGAGCAAGUUUCAGUAUACGAAUUCUGGUCCCUUAUUCAUAUAACCUUGACAAAUAAUAAGAUGGAUGACAGAAAAGACACACCUAGGUUUUAGCCAUAAAAUAUGUACAGAAACCAAAAUGAUUUGAAUAAAUUUAUUCUGGCUUCUGUUUUCCACCAUUCCCACUCUUCCACCCUAUUCCUUGCCAUUUUUGUUUGUUUGGUUGGUUUUGCAGAUGUGCAAGCUAGUUGUGCUUCUUGUAUCUUUUUUUUUUUU